AGACCCGAAACCCGGUGAUCUAGCCAUGGGCAGGUUGAAGGUUGGGUAACACUAACUGGAGGACCGAACCGACUAAUGUUGAAAAAUUAGCGGAUGACCUGUGGCUGGGGGUGAAAGGCCAAUCAAACCGGGAGAUAGCUGGUUCUCCCCGAAAGCUAUUUAGGUAGCGCCUCGUGAAUUCAUCUCCGGGGGUAGAGCACUGUUUCGGCUAGGGGGCCAUCCCGGCUUACCAACCCGAUGCAAACUGCGAAUACCGGAGAAUGUUAUCACGGGAGACACACGGCGGGUGCUAACGUCCGUCGUGAAGAGGGAAACAACCCAGACCGCCAGCUAAGGUCCCAAAGUCAUGGUUAAGUGGGAAACGAUGUGGGAAGGCCCAGACAGCCAGGAUGUUGGCUUAGAAGCAGCCAUCAUUUAAAGAAAGCGUAAUAGCUCACUGGUCGAGUCGGCCUGCGCGGAAGAUGUAACGGGGCUAAACCAUGCACCGAAGCUGCGGCAGCGACACUGUGUGUUGUUGGGUAGGGGAGCGUUCUGUAAGCCUGUGAAGGUGUGUCGUGAGGCAUGCUGGAGGUAUCAGAAGUGCGAAUGCUGACAUAAGUAACGAUAAAGCGGGUGAAAAGCCCGCUCGCCGGAAGACCAAGGGUUCCUGUCCAACGUUAAUCGGGGCAGGGUGAGUCGACCCCUAAGGCGAGGCCGAAAGGCGUAGUCGAUGGGAAACGGGUUAAUAUUCCCGUACUUGGUGUUACUGCGAAGGGGGGACGGAGAAGGCUAUGUUGGCCGGGCGACGGUUGUCCCGGUUUAAGCGUGUAGGUGUGUGUUCCAGGUAAAUCCGGUUCACUUUAACACUGAGGCGUGACGACGAGGCACUACGGUGCUGAAGCAACAAAUGCCCUGCUUCCAGGAAAAGCCUCUAAGCAUCAGGUAACAUCAAAUCGUACCCCAAACCGACACAGGUGGUCAGGUAGAGAAUACCAAGGCGCUUGAGAGAACUCGGGUGAAGGAACUAGGCAAAAUGGUGCCGUAACUUCGGGAGAAGGCACGCUGACACGUAGGUGAAGUGAUUUACUCAUGGAGCUGAAGUCAGUCGAAGAUACCAGCUGGCUGCAACUGUUUAUUAAAAACACAGCACUGUGCAAACACGAAAGUGGACGUAUACGGUGUGACGCCUGCCCGGUGCCGGAAGGUUAAUUGAUGGGGUCAGCGCAAGCGAAGCUCCUGAUCGAAGCCCCGGUAAACGGCGGCCGUAACUAUAACGGUCCUAAGGUAGCGAAAUUCCUUGUCGGGUAAGUUCCGACCUGCACGAAUGGCGUAAUGAUGGCCAGGCUGUCUCCACCCGAGACUCAGUGAAAUUGAACUCGCUGUGAAGAUGCAGUGUACCCGCGGCAAGACGGAAAGACCCCGUGAACCUUUACUAUAGCUUGACACUGAACAUUGAGCCUUGAUGUGUAGGAUAGGUGGGAGGCUUUGAAGUGUGGACGCCAGUCUGCAUGGAGCCGACCUUGAAAUACCACCCUUUAAUGUUUGAUGUUCUAACGUGGACCCGUUACCCGGGUUGCGGACAGUGUCUGGUGGGUAGUUUGACUGGGGCGGUCUCCUCCUAAAGAGUAACGGAGGAGCACGAAGGUU
rnacentral:rRNA from 2 species